GAUGAAGAACGUAGCGAAAUGCGAUAAGUAGUGUGAAUUGCAGAAUUCAGUGAAUCAUCGAAUCUUUGAACGCACAUUGCGCCCCUUGGUAUUCCAUGGGGCAUGCCUGUUCGAGCGUCAUUUGUAACUUCAAGCUCUGCUUGGUGUUGGGUGUUUGUCUCGCCUCUGCGUGUAGACUCGCCUCAAAAUAAUUGGCAGCCGGCGUAUUGAUUUCGGAGCGCAGUACAUCUCGCGCUUUGCACUCAUAACGACGACGUCCAAAAGUACAUUUUUACACUCUUGACCUCGGAUCAGGUAGGGAUACCCGCUGAACUUAAGCAUAUCAAUAAGCGGAGGA
rnacentral:misc_RNA from 1 species